GUGCUCACUGGAAGUGCAUAUACUAAAAUCAAAAUGACACAGAAGAUUAGCACAGUCCCUACUCAAGGAUGGCACACAGAUUGAUGACGAAUUCUAUAUUUUC